rnacentral:tRNA from 4 species
GCCGAAGUGGUGAAACUGGUAGACACGCACGUUUCAGGGGCGUGAGGGAGCAAUCCUGUGCGGGUUCGAGUCCCGCCUUCGGCACAA